GACGUAGGGCGCGAGCGUUGUCCGGAUUUAUUGGGCGUAAAGAGCUCGUAGGCGGCUUGUUGCGUCAGCUGUGAAAACCCGCAGCUCAACUGUGGGCUUGCAGCUGAUACGGGCAGGCUUGAGUUCGGUAGGGGAGACUGGAAUUCCUGGUGUAGCGGUGAAAUGCGCAGAUAUCAGGAGGAACACCGGUGGCGAAGGCGGGUUGCUGGGCUGAUACUGACGCUGAGGCGCGAAAGCCAGGGGAGCGAACGGG
rnacentral:rRNA from 1 species